UACGUAGGGUGCGAGCGUUGCCCGGAUUUAUUGGGCGUAAAGGGCGCGUAGGCGGCUCGGCACGUCCGUUGUGAAAUCGCCCGGCUCAACUGGGCGGGGUCAGCGGAUACGGUCGAGCUUGAGCAAGCUAGGGGGCAAUGGAAUUCCCGGUGUAGUGGUGGAAUGCGUAGAUAUCGGGAGGAACACCAGUGGCGAAGGCGGUUGCCCGGGGCUUUGCUGACGCUGAUGCGCGAAAGCGUGGGGAGCGAUCCGG
rnacentral:rRNA from 1 species